rnacentral:rRNA from 1 species
CAGCAGCCACGGGAAUACGUAGGGUGCAAGCGUUAAUCGGAAUUACUGGGCGUAAAGCGUGCGCAGGCGGUUAUGUAAGACAGUUGUGAAAUCCCCGGGCUCAACCUGGGAACUGCAUCUGUGACUGCAUAGCUAGAGUACGGUAGAGGGGGAUGGAAUUCCGCGUGUAGCAGUGAAAUGCGUAGAUAUGCGGAGGAACACCGAUGGCGAAGGCAAUCCCCUGGACCUGUACUGACGCUCAUGCACGAAAGCGUGGGGAGCAAACAGGAUUAGAUACCCGAGUAGUCCCUGUCUCUUAUAC